AGCAGGACAUCAUUUUUUUCCCAAAAUAUUAUUCAGUCAGUGAAGUUCAGCGUGCUUUAUCCUACAUUUAAUAAAAAACAGAGGAAACGGCAAAAGAAGAAAGUACAGAGAGAAAAAAGCAGAAGACAAUGAGACAGUGAUAUAAGAAUAAUACAAAAAUACGCCCACAUUAAAUAUGACACAAUAUCAAACCAAUUAUAGACCAUACAAAUUAUAAGCUGCUGCAGAUGUUUUUGUUAUUAUUCUCAGUCAUCAUACAAUAUAAACAUAAUGCUGUUGGCCAAUUUACACACUGCUUAUUAUGCCUAUUUAGGUAAAACAGGCUAUUUCCAGGCACAUGAUGCCGCUGUGGUGAGAGAACUUUGAGAGAACGCUGAACAGCUGUCUCACAUUAUCCAAUUUACACGUCCCCGUCCAGUCUCUACACUUUUAUAAGCACCACUCGCCAUAGCGAUAUGCGUCACGAGAUAAUGGAAAGCAAAAAAGAAACCUGAGUGGCAUGAGGAGGAAAGUUUGCUAGUCGCAGAGCAAGUUGAGCAAAACAAAACAAUCAUUAAGGGAAAAUUCAGUCCUAAUUUAACCUCUCAGCAGAAGGAGGACGUGUGGAGAGUCAUCUCUGAAGCAAUCAAUAGUACAUUUCAUUAUGCAGUAAGAACACCGAGAGGAAAAAAACACCUGCAAAAUACUUCUGCAGGGAAACAGAGGAAACAGGGAUUAGAGGAGGCCAAGAUGCUGCACUACUGAAAGCCACUGAGCACCAACAUAACGUCUGAUCCCUCCUUCACUAUAAGAUGCUCCAUCAACCAGCAGCUCCCCGGACGUCUGCUGGUCAAACUGGAGGAGGAGCUUCUUCACCUGCAAAGGAGAAAAUAAAA